rnacentral:rRNA from 1 species
UGGGGAAUAUUGGACAAUGGGCGAAAGCCUGAUCCAGCCAUGCCGCGUGUGUGAAGAAGGUCUUCGGAUUGUAAAGCACUUUAAGUUGGGAGGAAGGGCAGUAAGCGAAUACCUUGCUGUUUUGACGUUACCGACAGAAUAAGCACCGGCUAACUCUGUGCCAGCAGCCGCGGUAAUACAGAGGGUGCAAGCGUUAAUCGGAAUUACUGGGCGUAAAGCGCGCGUAGGUGGUUCGUUAAGUUGAAUGUGAAAGCCCCGGGCUCAACCUGGGAACUGCAUCGAAAACUGGCGAGCUAGAGUAGGGCAGAGGGUGGUGGAAUUUCCUGUAUAGCGGUGAAAUGCGUAGAUAUAGGAAGGAACAACAGUGGCGAAGGCGACAACCUGGGCUCAUACUGACACUGAGGUGCGAAAGCGUGGGGAGCAAACAGG